rnacentral:rRNA from 1 species
GAGUUUGAUCCUGGCUCAGGAUGAACGCUGGCGGCGUGCCUAAUACAUGCAAGUCGAGCGAACAGAUAAGGAGCUUGCUCCUUUGAAGUUAGCGGCGGACGGGUGAGUAACACGUGGGUAACCUACCUAUAAGACUGGGAUAACUUCGGGAAACCGGAGCUAAUACCGGAUAACAUUUAGAACCGCAUGGUUCUAAAGUGAAAGAUGGUUUUGCUAUCACUUAUAGAUGGACCCGCGCCGUAUUAGCUAGUUGGUAAGGUAACGGCUUACCAAGGCGACGAUACGUAGCCGACCUGAGAGGGUGAUCGGCCACACUGGAACUGAGACACGGUCCAGACUCCUACGGGAGGCAGCAGUAGGGAAUCUUCCGCAAUGGGCGAAAGCCUGACGGAGCAACGCCGCGUGAGUGAUGAAGGGUUUCGGCUCGUAAAACUCUGUUAUUAGGGAAGAACAAAUGUGUAAGUAACUGUGCACAUCUUGACGGUACCUAAUCAGAAAGCCA